UAAGGAAUAUUGGACAAUGGAGGCAACUCUGAUCCAGCCAUGCCGCGUGAAGGAAUAAGGCCCUAUGGGUUGUAAACUUCUUUUAGAUGGGACAAAACCCCUUUACGUGUAAAGGGUUGAUGGUACUGUCUGAAUAAGCAUCGGCUAACUUCGUGCCAGCAGCCGCGGUAAUACGAAGGAUGCAAGCGUUAUCCGGAAUUAUUGGGUUUAAAGGGUGCGUAGGCGGACUAAUAAGUCAGUGGUGAAAGCCUGCAGCUUAACUGCAUAAUUGCCAUUGAUACUGUUAGUCUUGAGUACAGUUGAGGUAGGCGGAAUGUGUCAUGUAGCGGUGAAAUGCUUAGAUAUGACACAGAACACCGAUUGCGAAGGCAGCUUGCUAAGCUGUAACUGACGCUGAGGCACGAAAGCGUGGGGAGCAAACA
rnacentral:rRNA from 1 species